rnacentral:rRNA from 1 species
GACGAACGCUGGCGGCGUGCUUAACACAUGCAAGUCGAACGAAGAGCGAUGGAAGCUUGCUUCUAUCAAUCUUAGUGGCGAACGGGUGAGUAACGCGUAAUCAACCUGCCCUUCAGAGGGGGACAACAGUUGGAAACGACUGCUAAUACCGCAUACGAUCUAAUCUCGGCAUCGAGGAUAGAUGAAAGGUGGCCUCUACAUGUAAGCUAUCACUGAAGGAGGGGAUUGCGUCUGAUUAGCUAGUUGGAGGGGUAACGGCCCACCAAGGCGAUGAUCAGUAGCCGGUCUGAGAGGAUGAACGGCCACAUUGGGACUGAGACACGGCCCAGACUCCUACGGGAGGCAGCAGUGGGGAAUCUUCCGCAAUGGACGAAAGUCUGACGGAGCAACGCCGCGUGAGUGAUGGCGGCCUUCGGGUUGUAAAGCUCUGUUAAUCGGGACGAAAGGCCUUCUUGCGAAUAGUGAGAAGGAUUGACGGUACCGGAAUAGGAAGCCACGGCUAACUACGUG